rnacentral:rRNA from 1 species
AUAUUGGACAAUGGGCGCAAGCCUGAUCCAGCCAUGCCGCGUGAGUGAAGAAGGCCUUCGGGUUGUAAAGCUCUUUCAGUAGUGAAGAUGAUGACGGUAACUACAGAAGAAGCCCCGGCUAACUUCGUGCCAGCAGCCGCGGUAAUACGAAGGGGGCGAGCGUUGUUCGGAAUCACUGGGCUUAAAGCGUGCGUAGGCGGAUAAGAAAGUCAGGAGUGAAAUCCCGGGGCUCAACCCCGGAACUGCUUUUGAAACUUCUUGUCUAGAAUCCGACAGAGGUUAACGGAAUUCCGAGUGUAGAGGUGAAAUUCGCAGAUAUUCGGAGGAACACCAGUGGCGAAGGCGGUUAACUGGGUCGGUAUUGACGCUGAGGUACGAAAGCGUGGGGAGCAAAC